CCUACGGGUGGCAGCAGUGGGGAAUAUUGGACAAUGGGCGAAAGCCUGAUCCAGCCAUGCCGCGUGUGUGAAGAAGGCCUUCGGGUUGUAAAGCACUUUCAGUGGGGAAGAAAGCCUUGGGGCUAAUACCCCCGAGGAAGGACAUCACCCACAGAAGAAGCACCGGCUAACUCCGUGCCAGCAGCCGCGGUAAUACGGAGGGUGCGAGCGUUAAUCGGAAUUACUGGGCGUAAAGCGCGCGUAGGCGGUCUGAUAAGCCGGUUGUGAAAGCCCCGGGCUCAACCUGGGAACGGCAUCCGGAACUGUCAGGCUAGAGUGCAGGAGAGGAAGGUAGAAUUCCCGGUGUAGCGGUGAAAUGCGUAGAGAUCGGGAGGAAUACCAGUGGCGAAGGCGGCCUUCUGGACUGACACUGACGCUGAGGUGCGAAAGCGUGGGUAGCAAACAGGAUUAGAUACCCUUGUAGUC
rnacentral:rRNA from 1 species